AUUGAACGCUGGCGGCGUGCCUAACACAUGCAAGUCGAGCGGUGACAGGCGUAGCAAUACGUGCUGACGAGCGGCGGACGGGUGAGUAAUGCUUGGGAAUCUUCCCGGUAGUGGGGAACAACCAACCGAAAGGUUGGCUAAUACCGCAUACGUUCUACGGAAGAAAGCGGGGGACCGUAAGGCCUCGCGCUAUCGGAUGAGCCCAAGUCGGAUUAGCUAGUUGGCGGGGUAAUGGCCCACCAAGGCGACAAUCCGUAGCUGGUCUGAGAGGACGACCAGCCACACUGGGACUGAGACACGGCCCAGACUCCUACGGGAGGCAGCAGGUGGGGAAUAUUGGACAAGUGGGGGAAACCCUGAUCCAGCGACGCCGCGUGUGUGAAGAAGGCCUGCGGG
rnacentral:rRNA from 1 species